rnacentral:lncRNA from 10 species
AAAGAACCACAGAUUAGGUGCCUUAAGCAACAGAAAUUUAUUUCCUCACAGUUCUGGACGCUGGAAGUCCGACAACAAGAUAUUGGUCUGGGAAUUCAGCCAAAAAUUCCUGAAGGAUGAAUUCCUUUUCCUCGGUGAGGUUGACAUUUGAGCACACAUCGCCCUCUUGUGUCUACGACACAUUUGGCAACGUAGUUUCCAGCACCUGCUAAUGCACACAGCAAAUUGAAGCCUUGUUAACAUCCCUUAAGCCUGCAGACCUCGGUACAAGGCGGAGGGAGAACAAACGCACCAAUUUUCCCAGAAUAGUCAAGAACAUCCAGAAGAAUCCAGAAUUUGUGAAGAUGGUACUGGUGGACCUUACCUUCCGAAAACUGCUAUCAGGGCCUCUGCAGGAGGCCCUGGCUGUGAUAAAUGUGCAUCUGUAGAGUGCACAACCUGAACAUCCUUACCAAGCAGCCCUGACCAAUAUCUUCCUGCCUAAAGAGUGCCAAUGCUGAGAGUAUGCCUUUAAAACCCCAUUUUGGCCAUUUCUCAAGAAACCUGUACUUGAUGGAUCAGCUGGCACCAUCCAGAUCAAUAAACUGGCUCAUCUGAUCUGGACCCCCCACCUAGGAACUGACUCAGCGCAAGAAGACAGCUUCGACUCUCUAUGAUUUCAUUCCUGACCAAUCAGUACUCCUGGCUCACUGGCUUCCUCCCACCCACCAAGUUAUCCUUAAAAAUUCUGCUUCCCGAAUGCUAGGGGAGACUGAUUUGAGUAAUAAUAAAACUCUAAUCUCCUGCUCA